GGCUUCCUGGUGUAAUGGUAGCACACUGGGCCCGUAUUCGAGAGGUCCAGGUUCGAGUCCCGGGGAUGCCA
rnacentral:tRNA from 1 species